rnacentral:rRNA from 1 species
UACAGAGGUCUCAAGCGUUGUUCGGAUUCAUUGGGCGUAAAGGGUGCGUAGGCGGCGCAGUAAGUCGGGUGUGAAAUCUCGGGGCUUAACUCCGAAACUGCAUUCGAUACUACCGUGCUUGAGGACUGGAGAGGAGACUGGAAUUUACGGUGUAGCGGUGAAAUGCGUAGAUAUCGUAAGGAAGACCAGUGGCGAAGGCGAGUCUCUGGACAGCAACUGACGCUGAGGCACGAAGGCCAGGGGAGCAAACGGG